rnacentral:rRNA from 1 species
UACAGAGGUCUCAAGCGUUGUUCGGAUUCAUUGGGCGUAAAGGGUGCGUAGGCGGCGCGGUAAGUCGGGUGUGAAAUCUCGGAGCUUAACUCCGAAACUGCAUUCGAUACUGCCGUGCUUGAGGACUGGAGAGGAGACUGGAAUUUACGGUGUAGCGGUGAAAUGCGUAGAUAUCGUAAGGAAGACCAGUGGCGAAGGCGGGUCUCUGGACUGUAACUGACACUGAGGCACGAAAGCGUGGGGAGCAAACAGG